UAUAAAUUAUAUCAGCAAUAUAAGGUAUAUAAAGUAACAGCAGAUGAGCCACUUUCUCCCUCUGAGAUUGGGCACCAUUUCCCAAGCAGGGGACUCACUUCCUUUCCUUCCUGCAGGAGUGAUGCUUCCCCCUCUGUGAAUGUGGCUUUGGGUAUGGCUAAUCCACACCCUGCACUCUGGCCUUCAGAAGCCCAGGGAGAGAAGCCUCCCAGAAGCAACCUUCCAGAACCUUCUCCAUCCUCCCACCGACCUCCCCAGCCCCUGUCCUCUCUUUGAAUCUCGUUGUCAAGUUCUUCCCGCAGACACCUGGCUCCUUGAGGGGAGGUGCAGCUUUCAUCUGACCAUGCAGGCGUGCUUUGCAGUGGGUAGAGCAGUGCUUUCCUCCUCCCAGCUGCACACUGGAAUCACCUGGAGAGUCCAGAAACUUCCCGCCUCAGUGAAAGAACAUCAGUGUAUCAGCACAGCAAAUAUUCCAAAUGCCAGGCUGGAUUCCCUCCAAUUACCAGGACCUCCAGGCUUCUCCUCCUUUCAAGAACUUUCUGACCCUGGAUCCAGUCUAAAUGUUGGUU
rnacentral:lncRNA from 1 species